rnacentral:rRNA from 1 species
AGCGAACGCUGGCGGCAGGCUUAACACAUGCAAGUCGAGCGGAGCGAGGGUGCUUGCACCUUAGCUUAGCGGCGGACGGGUGAGUAAUGCUUAGGAAUCUGCCUAUUAGUGGGGGACAACAUUCCGAAAGGAAUGCUAAUACCGCAUACGCCCUACGGGGGAAAGCAGGGGAUCCUCGGACCUUGCGCUAAUAGAUGAGCCUAAGUCGGAUUAGCUAGUUGGUGGGGUAAAGGCCUACCAAGGCGACGAUCUGUAGCGGGUCUGAGAGGAUGAUCCGCCACACUGGGACUGAGACACGGCCCAGACUCCUACGGGAGGCAGCAGUGGGGAAUAUUGGACAAUGGGCGGAAGCCUGAUCCAGCCAUGCCGCGUGUGUGAAGAAGGCCUUUUGGUUGUAAAGCACUUUAAGCGAGGAGGAGGCUCUUAAGGUUAAUACCCUUGAUGAGUGGACGUUACUCGCAGAAUAAGCACCGGCUAACUCUGUGCCAGCCGCCGCAGUAAAAC